UUUCUGUGUGGCAGAGGUGACUGUGCGCUGAAGAUGAGAUCCACUAUCCAGAAGUGAGUUCCAGAUAAAGUAAAAUUCCAGAUGGAAACCAGAGACAGCCUGUUUUGAUGAUGUAGCCUUUGCUGACAAUCCAGAAGCACAAACACAUGGGGAGAUCUGCUGUUAGAAAUAUGAACAUCCUGCCAGGCAAGUAACGACUGGAGAUCACAGGGUUCAUUGCUAGGUCCACUGAUAGGACAAUUUCUUGAGAUGCUGGGCAGCAGCCACGAGUUGAAGCUCCCCAUCAUUCUCCAUCAUAGGUGAUGGAUGGGUACUCAGCCAUGUACCAUAGUACAUGACACCAGUAUUUUUGAAUAUUUUGACUUCUGUUUUAACAUACCACCAUGCCUAAAAAUUAUUCACCUGUGCAUAUACAUGAGAUAUUCAUCACUUUGUUGUGAAAGUGACUGACUCUGUGUUAGAUGAUUUCAUCCAACUACAGACUAAUUCAGAUAUUCUGAAGUUCAUCUUCCUAAGUGCCUUAAAGGUACUCUGGCUGAAGAUGUUUUCAAGCUUCGAUGGAUUAACUUGGAUUCAACCUUCGUUGACUUCACAGCUUCUGACAUCUAGCAAUUCUUCUUCAAGAUCACAGAUUUUGGCAGCCUAGUGGGAGUCAGGAUGCCACUGCCUCAACAUUGUUGACCCCACCUUAGAGGAUUCAAAGUAUACUGAACUGUGCCUGUCUUAGGCUGUCCUGUCUUCCAGGAUCUUACCCAUCAUUGACUACCAUUCCUCAAAGAGACAUCAUUCCAGAGACAUGUCACUGGAAGGAGUGGUGAGAAACAUCCUACAUGGUGGUCUCAUGGAUCUCUGAUACCCAGACUUUGAUCACUUCCUUAAGGGUUCCGUGAUUGGUAUUCUCAAGAGCCAUCAGCACCUGGAGGGUCACCUUAUUUAUGGAGCUCUGCCUGGAAAUAUGCUGGACAAAAAAAAAAAAACACUUAAGCAAAGCAAUUAUUAGUAUAACAAUUUCUCCCAUCAUAGCAUAAGUGGAUAUCCAGGAGGGAUCAAACAGCCUUUUACUAUUGUCCCAUGAUUUUUCUAAAACCCUGGCAUCCAGGAAUACUCUGGCCACAUUGAGGUUGGCUAUGUUCUCCCUUAACAGCACAGAAAAGUUAAGGAAAUUGUCUGACCAGGUACCUUCAAGAUAUUGGACCAACUGCUGUCAAGCUUCACUGCUGUUUUGUACCUGAUAAGGGGUUAGGGAGAUUGAGUGAAACUGGGUAUUGCAGACCAAUAGAGACAUUUCCCUAACAUUGGCCAACUCUUCUGUCAGUAAGUCAAUUUGUUGUUGUAACAUGUAAAUGGCGUAAUAAAGAUAUUGACUUAG
rnacentral:lncRNA from 1 species